UACUGGCCAUGAUCCUACUAGGGCCCACAAGGGUAUACUUAUCCUGGUCUCAAUCAUCAGGAGUAAGAGGAUCAUCUUGGGGUUCAUCUUGCUCUUUCACGGUCCUUGUAAGUCACAUCGAGACCCAAAGUGGAUUUUCUUCACCCUGUGGAAAAACACAAAUAGCUCCCUGGGAUCUGAUUAAUAUAGGAUCUGGGCCAUACUAUUUAUUAUCAAGGACAUUUUUUCAUUUGACCAUUUCAUUGGGCGAUUGAGGCCAUUGUCCGUGCCUUUUGGCUGGUGAUCUUCCAGCAUCAUCCAAUUUUUAAAAAUUAAAAGUAAAUAUUGUAAGGGAUAGAACCAUCUUUGGCAUCAUAGCCUCUAUCCCCCCUUUUUGUUUUUGCAAAUAUCGUUUCAAAGUACGAUGGGCUCUUUCAAUGAUGCCUUGGCCCUGUGGAUUAUAGGGCAAUCCAGAAAUAUGUUUCACUUGCAUUUGUUUGCAAAAUUGGCUAAAUUUAGAAGAAGUAUAUGCAGGACCAUUAUCUGUCUUUAGCACUAGGGGCUUGCACCAUGCGGCCCAAGCCUCUAAGCAGUGAGAUAUGACAUAACUGCUUUUUCCCCUGUCAAGGGAGAGGCAUGUAGGACACCAGAACUGGUAUCGAUGGACACAUGUACAUAUUGUAAUUUCCCAAAAGAUGGGAUAUGCGUGACAUCCAUUUGCCAAACAUCUAAGGGUCGCAAUCCGCGAGGAUUAAUACCCAUGGAAGGUGCAUUAAUAAAUUCUACACAUUAACCACACUUUAGGACAAUAUCUCGGGCUUCUGUUUGUGUGAGUUUAAACUUUUGUCGUAAUGUAGAAGCAGGGACAUGAUAAAGUUGAUGAAAAUUCUUUGCACUGUCUAUAGAACUUUGUGAUAGGAAAACCAUGUCUCUGGUGGCUGAAUCAGCAAUUGCAUUUCCCUUAACCAUAGGUCCAGGUAAUAAUGUAUGUGCUCUAAUAUGUUGAUUAUAAAAGGGGUGCUCACGCAUCAACAUACAAUUUUGUAUUUUCAUCAAAAUCUCAGAUACUGGACUAGACUGCUUAAAAUUUUCGGCAGUCUCUAAUGCUAGUACAGCAUUAACCACAUAAACAGAAUCAGAGAUAAUAUUUAUGGGCAUAAGAAAUCUUUUAAAAACUUCUAAAGCCACCAAACAUUCUACCAAUUGAGGGGCUCCUGGUGUAAAUUGCAACCUUACAGCCUUUUCAUUGAUUAUGUAACUUCCAAUUCCUGUUUUGUAUCCAUCUGUAUAAAUAUCAUUGGCUCCCUUUAUAGGAGUAUUAGCCAUUACCUUUGGAAAUAUCACUGGAUGCAAUAGCAUAAAAUGUAAUAAAGGAUGUUUAGGAUAAUGAUUAUCAAUUAAACCAGAAUAACUGCAUCUAAGAAUGGCCUAUUCAUCUAUAGUAGCACACAAGAUUUGCAUUUGUGCGGCAGUAUAGGGAACAAUUAUGCUAUCAGGCAUUUUUCCAAAGUGAGUAAUUGAAGUUUUUAUACCUUUGUGGGCCAUAUUUGCUACCAUGGUGGGGUAAUGCUCUAUAGUCUUAUUAGGGGAUAUAUGUGGAUGUAUCCAUACUAAAGGACCAUCUUACCAUAACACAGCAAUUGGCAAAUUUAUGGUUCUUAAUAUACAUAGGUACAAAGGUUCUUUCUCAUUUAUACGAUUUAACUGUGCUUUUUGGAUAGCUCUUUCCACCUUCCUAAGAACA
rnacentral:lncRNA from 1 species